GUCCUUUUGAUUUUUAUUUAAGGUCUGACCUGCCCACUGAUUUAUUUAAUGGCCGCGGUAUUUUGACCGUGCAAAGGUAGCAUAAUCAUUUGUCUUUUAAUUGAAGGCUUGUAUGAAUGGUUGGACGAGAAAACUACUUUCUUUAUAAUAAAAUAAUUAAUUUUAUUUUUUAGUUAAAAAGCUGAAAUGUUGUUGUAGGACGAGAAGACCCUAUAGAACUUUAUAUUAACUUUUAUAUUAAUAUUUUUUGAUUAUUAUAUAUUGUAUUAAUAUUAAUAUUUUGUUGGGGCGACAAGAAAAUUUGUUUAACUUUUUUUAUUAAUUUCAUUAAUUAGUGUAUACAUGAUCCUUUAUUAAGGAUAAUAAGAAUAAGUUACCUUAGGGAUAACAGCGUAAUUUUUUUGGAGAGUUCUUAUCGAUGAAAAAGUUUGCGA
rnacentral:rRNA from 1 species